ACGGAAGGCAGCAGUGGGGAAUAUUGGACAAUGGGGGCAACCCUGAUCCAGCCAAACCGCGUGAGGGAUGAAGGUCCUACGGAUCGUAAACCUCUUUUAUGUGGGAAUAAUUGCCGGGAUGUAUCCCGGUUUGAAGGUACCACUUGAAUAAGCAUCGGCUAGCUCCGUGCCAGCAGCCGCGGUAAUACGGAGGAUGCAGGCGUUAUCCGGAUUUAUUAGGUUUAAAGGGUGCGCAGGCGGGACAUUAAGUCGGCGGUGAAAUACCGUGGCCCAACCACGGGGCUGCCGUCGAUACUGAUGACCUAGAGUGCGUGUGACGUAGGCGGAAUGUGACGUGUAGCGGUGAAAUGCUUAGAUAUGUCACAGAACACCGAUUGCGAAGGCAGCUUACGAAUGCGUAACUGACGCUCAUGCACGAAAGCGCGGGUAGCGAACAGGAUUAGAUACCCUGGUA
rnacentral:rRNA from 1 species